UCGCCUGUUUUAUCAAAAACAUAACCUUUAGCCACAAACAAAUAUUAAAGGCAACGCCUGCCCAGUGAACAAUUAAACGGCCGCGGUACCCUAACCGUGCAAAGGUAGCAUAAUCAUUUGUCUAUUAAUUGUAGACCAGUAUGAAAGGCAAAAUGAGGGCCUGACUGUCUCUUAUAGUAAAUCAAUUAAACUGAUCUCCUAGUAAAAAAGCUAGAAUAUACACAUAAGACCAGAAGACCCUGUGAAGCUUAAACUAAACUAUUACACCAUAUAAUAGCUACUUUCGGUUGGGGCGACCUUGGAACAAAAAAGAACUUCCAAAUAAAUGACCAUAACUCAUACCAAGCUUAGGCCCACAAGCCAUUCAUACGACCCAGUAUAACUGAUCACUGAACCAAGCUACUCCAGGGAUAACAGCGCUAUCUUCUUCAAGAGCCCAUAUCAAAAAGAAGGUUUACGACCUCGAUGUUGGAUCAGGGCAUCCUAAUGGUGCAGCCGCUAUUAAGGGUUCGUUUGUUCAACGAUUAAUAGCCCUACGUGAU
rnacentral:rRNA from 1 species